CGCAAGCCUGACGGAGCAACGCCGCGUGUGGGAAGAAGGCUCUUGGGCUGUCAACCACUUUUCUCAGGGAAGAAGCCCUGACGGUACCUGAGGAAUCAGCCUCGGCUAACUCCGUGCCAGCAGCCGCGGUAAUACGGAGGAGGCAAGCGUUAUCCGGAAUUAUUGGGCGUAAAGCGUCCGCAAGGGGCACAUCAAGUCUGCUGUUAAAGGCUGGAGCUUAACUCCGGUAGAGCAGUGGAAACUGGUGUGCUAGAGGGCGACAGGGGUAGAGGGAAUUCCCAGUGUAGCGGUGAAAUGCGUAUAGAUUGGGAAGAACACCGGUGGCGAAAGCGCUCUACUGGGUCGCACCUGACCCUCAGGGACGAAAGCUAAGGUAGCG
rnacentral:rRNA from 1 species